AUUGAACGCUGGCGGCAUGCCUUACACAUGCAAGUCGAACGGCAGCGGGGACUUCGGUCCGCCGGCGAGUGGCGAACGGGUGAGUAACGUAUCGGAACGUACCUUUCAGUGGGGGAUAACGUAGCGAAAGUUACGCUAAUACCGCAUAUUCUGUGAGCAGGAAAGCAGGGGAUCGCAAGACCUUGCGCUGAUUGAGCGGCCGAUAUCAGAUUAGCUAGUUGGUGAGGUAAAGGCUCACCAAGGCGACGAUCUGUAGCGGGUCUGAGAGGAUGAUCCGCCACACUGGAACUGAGACACGGUCCAGACUCCUACGGGAGGCAGCAGUGGGGAAUUUUGGACAAUGGGGGCAACCCUGAUCCAGCCAUGCCGCGUGAGUGAAGAAGGCCUCGGUUGUAAGA
rnacentral:rRNA from 1 species